ACCUCGGGAGGGAGGGGGCCGGGGACGGCUCCGCGGAGGGAUCUGACGCACACGGAGCCGCAGCACAGGCUCUAUUCAGCGGCGCUGGCUGGGGCUGAGAUGGAAGUUAGUUUCUGUGUAGCAGAAAUAGGAAACAAAUGAAGCAAAACUGCCCAAAGAGGGGAAAUGCCCCGAGGAUGGGUCUCACUCUCACGCGCGCGCACAGACACACACGCAGAGAGCACUCUCACGCUGGGCAAACUCGGGAUCGCGCUACCCUGCCCGAGUUGAAUGAUAGUGUUUGGUUUCUGUCUCUUGCCAUGUGCAUGUGUAUAAAUGCUGCGGAUUGGCAUCUGUCCUCCUGGUUAUUUUACAAAAGACUAGAGAAACAAUUUACACACCUGGUGUGAAAAGGAGGGAAGAAAAAGCCUUCCUUUUUCAUAAGGAAAGAAACGAAGUACCAAGCAGUAAGCAUUUUCUGUUUGUGAAGUAUAUAUACAAUUUUGUGUUACAAAAUUUUUCCUAUUUCAAUAUUUUUUGCCAAAGUCAAGUUUGUGAAGUUUCCAGUCUAGUAGUGACUGAAGAGGACUGCCAUUGACUCAAAGCACUGUCUGGUCAGUACUGCGUAACUUCACCUCUUUGAAGUAUUUAGGAUGGAAAUUCACUUCAUUUUCAGAGCCAGAUCCCAUCAUGCCCAUAAAAAUGUUCGAAAAAGAAAUCCUUGAUGGACACACGAUGGCAAAUUUCCAUGGCACAACGUAUCCUCAUUGCAGCAUUCUGUGCAUCUGCUGAACAAUCAUCAUUGAAACACUGGCUUGCAGCUUGACCCUCAUUGUGUACUUUUAGUCCAACACAUGGAGAUGCCCUGUUCACCAGAGGCUGACGGUAGAGAUGAGAGCUAAUCUGAAGCAGCUGAGACCCCCUCUGAUGGCUACACCUGGAAAGCAGAGGUUUCUGUGAUAGUCUGGCCAAUCUCCAGAAAUUAGCAAUUAUGAAAACCUGACUUUAUUUAGCAGCAAUAACAAUUUAUUGAAUGGACUACAAGAGAUAUGAAUCAAUGGCUAUGCAUACCAUUCAAAUUUUAACUACAAGGAAUUCACAUUCCUGAAAUAAAAACAAACAGCACUUAGA